rnacentral:rRNA from 2 species
CCCUGCACUCUGGGACAAGCCCUGGAAACGGGGUCUAAUACCGGAUACUGAUCCUCGCAGGCAUCUGCGAGGUUCGAAAGCUCCGGCGGUGCAGGAUGAGCCCGCGGCCUAUCAGCUAGUUGGUGAGGUAACGGCUCACCAAGGCGACGACGGGUAGCCGGCCUGAGAGGGCGACCGGCCACACUGGGACUGAGACACGGCCCAGACUCCUACGGGAGGCAGCAGUGGGGAAUAUUGCACAAUGGGCGAAAGCCUGAUGCAGCGACGCCGCGUGAGGGAUGACGGCCUUCGGGUUGUAAACCUCUUUCAGCAGGGAAGAAGCGAAAGUGACGGUACCUGCAGAAGAAGCGCCGGCUAACUACGUGCCAGCAGCCGCGGUAAUACGUAGGGCGCAAGCGUUGUCCGGAAUUAUUGGGCGUAAAGAGCUCGUAGGCGGCUUGUCACGUCGGUUGUGAAAGCCCGGGGCUUAACCCCGGGUCUGCAGUCGAUACGGGCAGGCUA